rnacentral:rRNA from 1 species
CCUGACUGCUAUCGGAUUGGUACUAAGCCAUGUGAGUCGUUGUAGCAAUACAAGGCAUACGGCUCAGUAACACGUAGUCAAUCUAACCUAUGGACGGGGAUAACCUCGGGAAACUGAGGAUAAACCCCGAUAGAUCAUUAUACCUGGAACGGUUUAUGGUCCAAACGAUUCGUCGCCGUAGGGUGGGACUGCGGCCUAUCAGCUUGUUGGUGAGGUAAUGGCCCACCAAGGCUAUUACAGGUACGGGCUCUGAGAGGAGAAGCCCGGAGAUGGGUACUGAGACACGGACCCAGGCCCUAUGGGGCGCAGCAGGCGAGAAACCUUUGCAAUGUGCGCAAGCACGACAAGGUUAAUCCGAGUGUUUCCUGCUAAAGGAAUCUUUUGUUAGUUCUAAAACCACUGAUGAAUAAGGGGUGGGCAAGUUCUGGUGUCAGCCGCCGCGGUAAAACCAGCACCUCAAGUGGUCAGGAUGAUUAUUGGGCCUAAAGCAUCCGUAGCCUGUUCUAUAAGUUUCCGGUUAAAUCCAUUAGCUCAACUAAUGGGCUGCCGAAAAUACUGUAGAACUAGGGAGUGGGAGAGGUAGACGGUACUCGGUAGGAAGGGGUAAAAUCCUUUGAUCUAUUGAUGACCACCUGUGGCGAAGGCGGUCUACCAGAACACGUUCGACGGUGAGGGAUGAAAGCUGGGGGAGCAAACCGGAUUAGAUACCCGGGUAGUCCCAGCUGUAAACGAUGCAGACUCGGUGAUGCCCUGGCUUGUGGCCAGUGCAGUGCCGCAGGGAAGCCGUUAAGUUUGCCGCCUGGGAAGUACGUACGCAAGUAUGAAACUUAAAGGAAUUGGCGGGGGAGCACCACAAGGGGUGAAGCCUGCGGUUC